rnacentral:rRNA from 1 species
GACGAACGCUGGCGGUGUGCUUAACACAUGCAAGUCGAACGGUAAGGCCCUUUCGGGGGUACACGAGUGGCGCACGGGUGCGUAACACGUGAGUAACCUGCCCUCAUCUCUGGGAUAACAGUCGGAAACGGUUGCUAAUACUGGAUAUGAGCCUGCAAGGCAUCUUGUGGGUUGGAAAGAUUUUUUGGUUGGGGAUGGACUCGCGGCCUAUCAGCUUGUUGGUGAGGUAGUGGCUCACCAAGGCUUCGACGGGUAGCCGGCCUGAGAGGGCGACCGGCCACAUUGGGACUGAGAUACGGCCCAAACUCCUACGGGAGGCAGCAGUGGGGAAUAUUGCACAAUGGACGGAAGUCUGAUGCAGCAACGCCGCGGGCGGGAUGACGGCCUUCGGGUUGUAAACCGCUUUCAAUUGUGACGAAGCUUUUUGUGACGGUAGCAGUAGAAGAAGCACCGGCUAACUACGUG